GCUUACGGCCACACCCGGCCUGAGUACGCCUGAUCUCGUCGAUCUCGGAAGCUAAAGCAGGGUCGGGCCUGGUUAGUACUGGAUGGGAGACCGCCUGGGAAUACCAGGGUGCUGUAAGCU
rnacentral:rRNA from 1 species